UGGGCGUACAGGGCGUGUAGGCGGGAAUGAAAGUCAGUCGUGAAAUCCCGGGGCUCAACCCCUGGAACUGCGCUUGAAACUUCAUUUCUUGAGGGUAGACGGAGAAAGCGGAAUUCCACAAGUAGCGGUGAAAUGCGUAGAUAUGUGGAAGAACACCCGUGGCGAAGGCGGCUUUCUAGUUUAUUCCUGACGCUGAGGCGCGAAAGCAAGGGGAGCGAACAGGAUUAGAUACCCUGGUAGUCCUUGCCGUAAACGAUGUAUACUUGGUGUAGUUGGUCUCAACCCCAGCUGUGCCGUAGCUAACGCGUUAAGUAUACCGCCUGGGGAGUACAGUCGCAAGGCUGAAACUCAAAAGAAUUGACGGGGACCCGCACAAGCAGUGGAGCAUGUGGUUUAAUUCGAUGCAACGCGAAGAACCUUACCCAGGCUUGACAUUCAGAGGACGUAUACAGAGAUGUAUAUUCCCUUCGGGGCCUCUGGACAGGUGCUGCAUGGCUGUCGUCAGCUCGUGCCGUGAGGUGUUGGGUUAAGUCCCGCAACGAGCGCAACCCUUAUCAUUAGUUGCCAACAGGUAAUGCUGGGGACUCUAGUGAGACUGCCUGGGUUAACCAGGAGGAAGGUGAGGAUGAGGUCAAGUCAGCAUGGCCCUUAUGUCUGGGGCUACACACGUGCUACAAUGGACGGUACAAAAGGCAGCGAAGCCGCGAGGUGGAGCAAAUCCUAAAAAGCCGUUCUCAGUUCGGAUUGUAGUCUGCAACUCGACUACAUGAAGUUGGAAUUG
rnacentral:rRNA from 1 species